UGGUAGUCCCGAGACUUCGGGAGGCAUCCUUUAUGUCCUUUCUUUAAGGACAUAAAGAUAGAGCGGAUGACAGGAAUAGCU
rnacentral:misc_RNA from 1 species